UACGUAGGGGGCAAGCGUUGUCCGGAAUCAUUGGCGUAAAGAGCGCGUAGGCGGUCCGGUAAGUCGGUUGUGAAAACUGGGGGCUCAACCCUCAGAGGCCGACCGAUACUGUCGGGCUAGAGUCCGGAAGAGGCGAGUGGGAAUUCCUGGUGUAGCGGUGAAAUGCGCAGAUAUCAGGAGGAACACCAAUGGCGAAGGCAGCUCGCUGGGACGGUACUGACGCUGAGGCGCGAAAGCGUGGGGAGCAAACAGG
rnacentral:rRNA from 1 species